GGGGUAACAGGGAUUGCUUGCAAUCCGCUGACGACCGGCGCACGGGUGCGUAACGCGUAUGCAACCUACCUUUUACAAGGGGAUAGCCCAGAGAAAUUUGGAAUAAUACCCUAUACGAUCAUCAAUUGGCAUCAAUUAAUGAAGAAAACUCCGGUGGUAAAAGAUGGGCAUGCGUCCUAUUAGUUAGUUGGUAAGGUAACGGCUUACCAAGACUUCGAUAGGUAGGGGUCCUGAGAGGGAGAUCCCCCACACUGGUACUGAGACACGGACCAGACUCCUACGGGAGGCAGCAGUGAGGAAUAUUGGACAAUGGAGGCAACUCUGAUCCAGCCAUGCCGCGUGCAGGAAGACGGCCCUACGGGUUGUAAACUGCUUUUAUACAGGAAGAACUAUAUCUACGUGUAGAUAUU
rnacentral:rRNA from 1 species